UGGCAGGCUUAUCGAUCAAGCAUGUUGAAAGUUUUCAAGCACACUGUUGAGGAAGGAGUUUUCUCCUUCGUUAUUGGUAUGCAUCACAUCAAGAGGGAGAUUAUCCUAUGGCCCUUAUUGUUAAUUAACUGGGCAAAUUGUGGUUUGUUAGGCUUAUAACUGGGCAGAGAAUAUAUUUCUGUAAGAAGUUUAGACUCUGGUCUUUCUUUUGUCACUGGAAGCUCUUUGAGCUCCCUUUUAAAUUCAACAAAACCUCUUUAAACUAGAAUUCUAUUAUGGGUUUUUUGUAAUUGUCACUACUUUGAACUUGUGUGAAAACCCCUUCCCCCUUAAAGUAUAUGUGAAGUCUACAUACAGGUGUUAGUGUUGA